AACUCGCUGAAACUUAAGCAUAUCAAUAAGCGGAGGAAAAGAAACCAACAGGGAUUGCCUUUAGUAACGGCGAGUGAAGCGGCAACAGCUCAAAUUUGAAAUCUGGCUCUUUUAGGGUCCGAGUUGUAAUUUGCAGAGGGCGCUUUGGCAUUGGUAGCGGUUCAAGUUCUUUGGAACAGGACGUCAUAGAGGGUGAGAAUCCCGUACGUGGCCGCUAACCUUUUCCGUGUAAAGCCCCUUCGACGAGUCGAGUUGUUUGGGAAUGCAGCUCUAAAUGGGAGGUAAAUUUCUUCUAAAGCUAAAUACUGGCCAGAGACCGAUAGCGCACAAGUAGAGUGAUCGAAAGAUGAAAAGCACUUUGGAAAGAGAGUCAAACAGCACGUGAAAUUGUUAAAAGGGAAGCGCUUGCAGCCAGACUUGCCUGUAGUUGCUUAUCUAGACUUUUGUCUGGUGCACUCUUCUGCGGGCAGGCCAGGAUCAGUUUGGGCGGUUGGAUAAAGGCCCUCGACAUGUACCUUUCCUCGGAAAGGACUUAUAGGGGGGGUAACAUACAACCAGCCUAGAUUGAGGUCCGCGCAUUUAUGCUAGGAUCCUGGCGUAAUGGCUGUAAGCGGCCCGUCUUGAAACACGGACCAAGGAGUCUAAUAUCCAUGCGAGUGUUUGGGUGUCAAGCCCAGACGCGUAAUGAAAGUGAACGGAGGUAGGACCCCUUUGGGUGCACUAUCGACCGAUCCUGAUGUUUUCGGAAGGAUUUGAGUAAGAGCAUGGCUAUUGGGACCCGAAAGAUGGUGAACUAUGCUUGAAUAGGGUGAAGCCAGAGGAAACUCUGGUGGAGGCUCGCAGCGGUUCUGACGUGCAAAUCGAUCGUCAAAUUUGAGCAUAGGGGCGAAAGACUAAUCGAACCUCCA
rnacentral:rRNA from 1 species